rnacentral:rRNA from 1 species
GACGAACGGCUGGCGGCGUGCUUAAUACAUGCAAGUCGAGCGGUGAACCCGACUGAAAGCCUUCGGGCUUGACGUUGGGGGAUCAGCGGCGGAUGGGUGAGUAACGCGUGGGUACCUGCCCUAAAGUCUGGGAUAACAACUCGAAAGGGUUGCUAAUACCGGAUGUGACCGAGAGGUUAAAGGCAGAGAUGUCGCUUUAGGAUGGGCCCGCGUCCCAUUAGCUAGUUGGUGAGGUAAGGGCUCACCAAGGCUGCGAUGGGUAGCCGGCCUGAGAGGGUGGACGGCCACACUGGGACUGAGACACGGCCCAGACUCCUACGGGAGGCGGCAGUAGGGAAUUUUCCGCAAUGGACGGAAGUCUGACGGAGCGACGCCGCGUGGGGGAAGAAGGCCUUCGGGUUGUAAACCUCUGUCUUCAGGGACGAAGAGGGUGUGGGAGACACACCGAAGCCGGUACCUGAGGAGGAAGCCCCGGCUAACUACGUG